AUCGCUUCUCGGCCUUUUGGCUAAGAUCAAGUGUAAAACUGUUUAUCUUUUAUUUUGUUUUUUAUUUCUU
rnacentral:snRNA from 1 species